rnacentral:rRNA from 1 species
AGCUCCAAUAGCGUAUAUUAAAGUUGUUGCAGUUAAAAAGCUCGUAGUUGGAUUUCUGGUUUGAAUGUUCGGUCCGCUUGUGUUUAUCGCGAGUGUGUACUAUGGACAUUUGGGCCAUUUUUUGUGAGGAAGUUUCUCUGCCAUUAAGUUGGUGGGUUUACUGACUUGCAUCGUUUACUGUGAAAAAAUUAGAGUGUUUAAAGCAGGCGUUUGCUUCUGAAUACAUUAGCAUGGAAUAAUAAGAUACGACCUUGGUGGUCUAUUUUGUUGGUUUGCACGCCAGGGUAAUGAUUAAUAGGGACAGUUGGGGGUAUUCAUAUUUCAGUGUCAGAGGUGAAAUUCUUGGAUCACUGAAAGAUGAGCUUAGGCGAAAGCAUUUACCAUGGAUGUUUUCAUUAAU